rnacentral:rRNA from 1 species
UGGGGAAUUUUGGACAAUGGGCGAAAGCCUGAUCCAGCAAUGCCGCGUGUGUGAAGAAGGCCUUCGGGUUGUAAAGCACUUUUGUCCGGAAAGAAAUCCUUGGCUCUAAUACAGUCGGGGGAUGACGGUACCGGAAGAAUAAGCACCGGCUAACUACGUGCCAGCAGCCGCGGUAAUACGUAGGGUGCAAGCGUUAAUCGGAAUUACUGGGCGUAAAGCGUGCGCAGGCGGUUUGCUAAGACCGAUGUGAAAUCCCCGGGCUCAACCUGGGAACUGCAUUGGUGACUGGCAGGCUAGAGUAUGGCAGAGGGGGGUAGAAUUCCACGUGUAGCAGUGAAAUGCGUAGAGAUGUGGAGGAAUACCGAUGGCGAAGGCAGCCCCCUGGGCCAAUACUGACGCUCAUGCACGAAAGCGUGGGGAGCAAACAGGAUUAGAUACCCUGGUAGUCCACGCCCUAAACGAUGUCAACUAGUUGUUGGGGAUUCAUUUCCUUAGUAACGUAGCCAACGCGUGAAGUUGACCGCCUGGGGAGUACGGUCGCAAGAUUAAAACUUAAAUGAAUUGACGGGGUCAUAGCUGUUUCCU